GCUGAUUUAUUGUGGAGCAACCCAUAAUUUCAUUUCGAAAUAGUUAGUCACCAAAUUGCAACUAAAGGUAGAAGAUACACCAUCAUGCAUGGUAUAGGUUGGAGAUGGCCACAAAAUUAAAUGCAAGAGAGUUUGUAGAGAGAUUCCUUUGAUGAUACAAGACAUACCGGUGCAACAUCAACAAUUCUUUUUAUUUGGCCUUGCAGAAGUAUAU
rnacentral:lncRNA from 1 species